CUAAACUGAAGCUGCUGUAACUAAAGGAAUCUGAAAAGAACAACCCUGAAGCAGAGGCCUUUAUUGUCUUGGUUGCCAGUAGUACCUUGUUUUGCCAUGUAGCAGACAACACACAAAAUAAUGCAGUUGUGGUGUGCCAUGCUAUGUGCACAGCCCCUUGGAUUACUUUGUUUUAAAAAGCAUCAGAGUUGGGGGUACUUUAGGGAAACCUUUGCUUACCUUGUUUUGCCAGUGAUAAGAGCAGUGGGUUGGAGGGCACUUGGCCAGUUUUCUGUUCAGCUUUUCAGUGAAUGUACCCCUUUAAGGUUCAGACUUAAACUUCCUUAAAAAGUGGCGUUGUUCAUAGAAUCGUUGGACUCAUUAAUGAAUCGUUCAACUCCACUCACUGAAGCCCAGACCUCCGUGCCCAGGCCCAAUCUCGUCAGGCUGCCAGAGAAAGUUGGUGCUGCUCAUACUGGUCUCACAGUCUAAUACCUAAGACUAAUGCUUUCUGUGGACACCACUGAGCUCUGCCUCAACUCCACCCUCUGCGACCGGAGGACUAUGCCCCUAGUAACUGCUGUCGGUGUGGACGCUGUGCUGGUUCUGUUUUCUAAAGGAGCAGAAGGACAGGUCUCUGAGACAGGAUCGUUGUCCCUACAGGAGGAACAGUGGCCUUGCUUCUUAGACGGUCUUCACUGUGUGUUUUAAAACAACAACAACAACAACAACAACAACAUAAAACUCUUUUGACCUGUAACUUAAAGAUCAUAAACUUCAGGCAAUAAUAUUUUCUGUGUAAGCUUUUAAAAUUAUUUUUGGGGAUCAUAGCUUGUUUUAUUUUGUGCUAUAAAAUUAACAGUAUUAAAUGACUUAUAUUCUUAGAAUACAUCGAGUGUCUUUUCUUAACAGAUUAGUGCCUUUUUAUUUUUGUAUUCCGUUUUACGUUACUGGUCCCAGCAUCAAAACCCUUGUUUCCAUGGCCUGUUUGUAUAUUGUCUCAAUAAAACUUGCAUCAGCCGGUGGUGGCGGC
rnacentral:lncRNA from 1 species